rnacentral:rRNA from 1 species
UACGAAGGGGGCUAGCGUUGUUCGGAUUUACUGGGCGUAAAGCGCACGUAGGCGGACUCUUAAGUCGGUGGUGAAAUCCUGGAGCUCAACUCCAGAACUGCCUUCGAUACUGGGAGUCUCGAGUUCGGGAGAGGUGAGUGGAACUGCGAGUGUAGAGGUGAAAUUCGUAGAUAUUCGCAAGAACACCAGUGGCGAAGGCGGCUCACUGGCCCGGAACUGACGCUGAGGUGCGAAAGCGUGGGGAGCAAACAGG